UACAGAGGUCUCAAGCGUUGUUCGGAUUCAUUGGGCGUAAAGGGUGCGUAGGCGGCGCGGUAAGUCGGGUGUGAAAUCUCGGAGCUUAACUCCGAAACUGCAUUCGAUACUGCCGUGCUUGAGGACUGGAGAGGAGACUGGAAUUUACGGUGUAGCGGUGAAAUGCGUAGAUAUCGUAAGGAAGACCAGUGGCGAAGGCGGGUCUCUGGACAGUUCCUGACGCUGAGGCACGAAGGCCCAGGGGGAGCAAACGGGGA
rnacentral:rRNA from 1 species